UACGUAGGGGGCAAGCGUUGUCCGGAUUUAUUGGGCGUAAAGAGCUCGUAGGUGGUUCGGUAAGUCGGAUGUGAAAUCUCCAGGCUCAACCUGGAGGGGUCAUUCGAUACUGCCGUGACUAGAGGUCGGUAGGGGAGUGUGGAAUUCCUGGUGGAGCGGUGAAAUGCGCAGAUAUCAGGAGGAACACCGGUGGCGAAGGCGGGUCUCUGGGCCGAUAUUGACGCUGAGGAGCGAAAGCGUGGGGAGCGAACAGG
rnacentral:rRNA from 1 species